UACGGAGGGUGCAAGCGUUGCUCGGAAUUAUUGGGCGUAAAGGGUAGGUAGGCGGUCUCUUUUGUCUGGGGUGAAAGCCUUGAGCUUAACUCAAGAAGUGCCCCAGAAACGGUGAGACUAGAGUCCUGGAGAGGGUCGUGGAAUUCCCGGUGUAGCGGUGAAAUGCGUAGAGAUCGGGAGGAACACCAGAGGCGAAGGCGGCGACCUGGACAGGAACUGACACUCAACUACGAAAGCGUGGGGAGCAAACAGG
rnacentral:rRNA from 1 species